GACGAACGCUGGCGGCGUGCCUAAUACAUGCAAGUCGAACGCAGUGGGGACGGGUGAGUAACACGUGGGUAACCUCCCAUCAGAGGGGAUAACACUUGGAAACAGGUGCUAAACCGCUACUGAUGGAUGGACCCGCGGUGCAUUAGCUAGUUGGUGAGGUAACGGCGCCCCAAGGCCACGAUGCAUAGCGGCCCUGAGAUGGUGAGCGGCCACGCUGGAACUGAGCAGCGGCCCAGACUCCUACGAGAGGGAGCAGUAGGGAAUCUUCGGCAAUGGACGAAAGUCUGACCGAGCAACGCCGCGUGAGUGAAGAAGUUUUUCGUAUCGUAAAACGCUGUUGUUGGAGAAGCGGUAUCUAACCAGAAAGCCACGGCUAACGACGUGCCAGCCGCCGCGGUAAUAC
rnacentral:rRNA from 1 species